rnacentral:rRNA from 1 species
AGAGUUUGAUCCUGGCUCAGAUUGAACGCUGGCGGCAUGCCUUACACAUGCAAGUCGAACGGCAGCACGGGAGCUUGCUCCUGGUGGCGAGUGGCGAACGGGUGAGUAAUGCAUCGGAACGUGCCCUGAAUGGGGGAUAACGUAGCGAAAGUUACGCUAAUACCGCAUAUUCUGUGAGCAGGAAAGCAGGGGACCUUAGGGCCUUGCGCUUUGGGAGCGGCCGAUGUCGGAUUAGCUAGUUGGUGAGGUAAAGGCUCACCAAGGCGACGAUCCGUAGCGGGUCUGAGAGGAUGAUCCGCCACACUGGGACUGAGACACGGCCCAGACUCCUACGGGAGGCAGCAGUGGGGAAUUUUGGACAAUGGGCGCAAGCCUGAUCCAGCCAUGCCGCGUGAGUGAAGAAGGCCUUCGGGUUGUAAAGCUCUUUCGGUUGGGAAGAAAUUGCCUGGGCUAAUACCCCAGGUAGAUGACGGUACCAGCAUAAGAAGCACCGGCUAACUACGUGCCAGCMGCCGCGGUAAUA